rnacentral:rRNA from 1 species
AUGCGGGAAGAAGCAGUACCGUAAGGAGCUGUGGACUGCAUGGAAGAGAGAAUGCCGGAAUGAGUAGCGAGAAUAAGGUGAGAAUCCUUAUGGCCGAAUAUCCAAGGUUUCCAGAGUAAAGCUGAUCUGCUCUGGGUAAGUCGGGGCCUAAGGCGAGGACGAGAGUCGUAGCCGAUGGACAACAGGUGGAGAUUCCUGUACUGCGGUAUGACAGAACUGUGGGGACACGUAAGGAAAGCGGAAGCCGGGAAUGGAGAGCCCGGUGCAAGCGGGGUACCAGUCACUUUGGCAAAUCCGGGUGGCAAUGGGAAGCCGUGAUGCGGAGCGAAAUAAAGUAGUGAAGUCCGUGAGCCAUGCGUCAAGAAAAGCCGCUAUUGUUUGUACCGUACCCGUACCGUAAACCGACACAGGUGGAUGAGGAGAGAAUCCUAAGGCCGGCGGAAGAAGCAUUGUCAAGGAACUCGGCAAAAUGGCCCCGUAACUUAGGGAUAAGGGGUGCCUCAGAAAUGAGGCCGCAGAGAAUAGGCUCAAGCAACUGUUUAGCAAAAACACAGGUCUAUGCGAAACCGAAAGGUGAGGUAUAUGGGCUGACGCCUGCCCGGUGCUGGAAGGUUAAGAGGAGAGGUUAGCGCAGGCGAAGCUUUGAAUUUAAGCCCCAGUAAACGGCGGCCGUAACUAUAACGGUCCUAAGGUAGCGAAAUUCCUUGUCGGGUAAGUUCCGACCCGCACGAAAGGCGUAAUGAUUUGAGCGCUGUCUCGACAAUGCAUCCGGUGAAAUUGAAGUACCAGUGAAGAUGCUGGUUACCUGCGCCAGGACGGAAAGACCCCAUGGAGCUUUACUCCAGUUUGGUACUGGGACUCGGUAUUGCAUGUACAGGAUAGGUGGGAGGCUAGGAGAUAGUAACGCCAGUUAUUAUGGAGCCGCUGUUGGGAUACCACCCUUGCAGUAUUGGGUUUCUAACCAGCCGCCGUGACCCGGCGGUGGGACAAUGCCAGACGGGGAGUUUGACUGGGGCGGUCGCCUCCGAAAGGGUGUCGGAGGCGCCCAAAGGUUCCCUCAGAAUGGACGGAAACCAUUCGAAGAGUGCAAAGGCAGAAGGGAGCUUGACUGCGACACCGACGGGUGGAGCAGGUACGAAAGUAGGGCUUAGUGAUCCGGUGGUAUUAAGUGGGAAUGCCAUCGCUCAACGGAUAAAAGCUACCCUGGGAUAACAGGCUUAUCACUCCCAAGAGUUCACAUCGACGGAGUGGUUUGGCACCUCGAUGUCGGCUCAUCGCAUCCUGGGGCUGUAGUAGGUCCCAAGGGUUGGGCUGUUCGCCCAUUAAAGCGGUACGCGAGCUGGGUUCAGAACGUCGUGAGACAGUUCGGUCCCUAUCCGGCGUGGGCGUAGGAUAUCUGAGAGGAGCUGUCCUUAGUACGAGAGGACCGGGAUGGACGGGCCGCUGGUGCAUCGGUUAGACUGCCAAGUCUACGGCCGAGUAGCCAAGCCCGGAAGGGAUAAACGCUGAAGGCAUCUAAGCGUGAAGCCCCCCUUAAGAUGAGAUAUCCCAUUCGAAAGAAGUAAACCCCCUUGAAGACGACGAGGUAGAUAGGGCAGAGGUGGAAGUGUGGCAACACAUGGAGCUGACUGUUACUAAUCGGGUGAGGGCUUGACC